GACGAACGCUGGCGGCGUGCUUAACACAUGCAAGUCGAACGGAAAGGCCCUUCGGGGUACUCGAGUGGCGAACGGGUGAGUAACACGUGGGUGAUCUGCCCUGCACUUUGGGACAAGCCUGGGAAGCUGGGUCUAAUACCGAAUAGGACCACGCGCUUCAUGGUGUGUGGUGGAAAGCUUUUGCGGUGUGGGAUGGGCCCGCGGCCUAUCAGCUUGUUGGUGGGGUAAUGGCCUACCAAGGCGACGACGGGUAGCCGGCCUGAGAGGGUGACCGGCCACACUGGGACUGAGAUACGGCCCAGACUCCUACGGGAGGCAGCAGUGGGGAAUAUUGCACAAUGGGCGCAAGCCUGAUGCAGUGACGCCGCGUGAGGGAUGACGGCCUUCGGGUUGUAAACCUCUUUCAAUAGGGACGAAGCGCAAGUGACGGUACCUAUAGAAGAAGCACCGGCCAACUACGUGCCAGCAGCCGCGGUAAUACGUAGGGUGCGAGCGUUGUCCGGAAUUACUGGGCGUAAAGAGCUCGUAGGUGGUUUGUCGCGUUGUUCGUGAAAACUCACAGCUUAACUGUGGGCGUGCGGGCGAUACGGGCAGACUAGAGUACUGCAGGGGAGACUGGAAUUCCUGGUGUAGCAGUGGAAUGCGCAGAUAUCAGGAGGAACACCGGUGGCGAAGGCGGGUCUCUGGGCAGUAACUGACGCUGAGGAGCGAAAGCGUGGGGAGCGAACAGGAUUAGAUACCCUGGUAGUCCACGCCGUAAACGGUGGGUACUAGGUGUGGGUUCCUUCCUUGGGAUCCGUGCCGUAGCUAACGCAUUAAGUACCCCGCCUGGGGAGUACGGCCGCAAGGCUAAAACUCAAAGGAAUUGACGGGGGCCCGCACAAGCGGCGGAGCAUGUGGAUUAAUUCGAUGCAACGCGAAGAACCUUACCUGGGUUUGACAUGCACAGGACGCCGGCAGAGAUGUCGGUUCCCUUGUGGCCUGUGUGCAGGUGGUGCAUGGCUGUCGUCAGCUCGUGUCGUGAGAUGUUGGGUUAAGUCCCGCAACGAGCGCAACCCUUGUCCUAUGUUGCCAGCGGGUUAUGCCGGGGACUCGUAGGAGACUGCCGGGGUCAACUCGGAGGAAGGUGGGGAUGACGUCAAGUCAUCAUGCCCCUUAUGUCCAGGGCUUCACACAUGCUACAAUGGCCGGUACAAAGGGCUGCGAUGCCGUGAGGUGGAGCGAAUCCUUUCAAAGCCGGUCUCAGUUCGGAUCGGGGUCUGCAACUCGACCCCGUGAAGUCGGAGUCGCUAGUAAUCGCAGAUCAGCAACGCUGCGGUGAAUACGUUCCCGGGCCU
rnacentral:rRNA from 1 species